UUCGUUUUCAAUUCUCGAGCGUACCGUGGAGUGUCGAGCCGACCGCCGCGAGUCUAUGUAAUGUCGACAAGGAUGUUGACGUUUAAUUCAGCUCGUCGGAAGCAACGAAUACGCGCCGCGCGAGUCUCGUGAAUAAUGUCAACGGGUUCCUCGUAACUUGUCGCACGCGAUCGUGAUAAUGUUAUGCACCACAGGGUUCAUAUAAAUUUGUAGACUUGAUGAACGAACGAUCUUUGUACGCGCGAGGGCUUUGGCUCGAACUGUGACGCGCCAUAUUGGUUUAAGAGAAUUGUUCAUGUUAGUGGGCUUUCGGUGAAUCGGUUAUAUUGCAAAUGCACGUAGAAUAAAAUAGAGUAUCGACAAUGGAAGAGACUAAAAUCAUUUAUCACAUUGACGACGAGGAAACCCCUUACCUGGUGAAGCUCACUAUCUCACCGGAAAGGGUCACUCUAGCCGACUUUAAAAAUGUCUUAAAUCGGCCGAAUUAUAAGUAUUUCUUCAAAUCAAUGGACGAUGAUUUUGGUGUGGUGAAGGAAGAAAUUGUAGAUGAUGAUGCUCACCUUCCUUGUUUCAAUGGACGGGUUGUUUCUUGGCUGGUGUCUGCUGAAGGCAGUAAUGUAUCAGAUGGUGCAUCACAGUGCACAGAUUCAGUGGCACAUAGUGAAGCAAAACAUGAUCGUGUCGAUCAUGUGACACCAGGUCACACAAAUCGUGGUCCACCACCACUUUCACACGAUGACACUCUGACUGAAACUGAGAGUAUGAUAAGCAGUCAGCAAGGACAUCAUUUACAUAAAAGUUCAAGACAUCAUUCAGAUAAAUAUGAAAAAUAUAAUAAAUAUAAUGGGCUUCGUAUAAAUGGUCACUCAAAACAUAGAUCAGGCCAUGGUUAUGAGACUGCUUCUAUUUUAAGUUCAGAUUUAGAGACAACAACAUUUUUAGAAUCAGAUGACGAUGCGAGUAGCCGUAUAACGUCAACAACUGGCAGACACACCAACAUGAGUAGCACAGUUGAUAGAGCUACCUUAGAUCGACGUAGACCACAAAGAAGAAGGCGUCAUAGAUUACCACCUAUGUCUAGAACAUCGUCCUUCAGCAGUAUCACGGACAGUACAAUGUCUUUAAAUAUUAUAACAGUUUCAUUGAACAUGGAUACUGUUAACUUCCUUGGAAUUAGUAUUGUUGGUCAGAGUAAUAAAGGUGGAGAUGGGGGAAUCUAUGUUGGUUCCAUAAUGAAAGGGGGAGCAGUUGCUAUAGAUGGUCGAAUAGAACCUGGUGACAUGAUUCUUCAAGUAAACGAUAUUAACUUUGAGAAUAUGUCUAAUGAUGAGGCAGUUAAAGUAUUACGUGAAGUAGUUCAAAAACCAGGACCAAUCAAAUUAGUUGUUGCAAAGUGCUGGGAUCCUAAUCCAAAAGGUUAUUUCACAAUACCGCGUACAGAACCUGUACGGCCUAUAGAUCCCGGCGCUUGGGUAGCACAUACAGCUGCUAUAAGGGGUGAAGGCUUUCCUCCACGUCCACCAAGUGCUACGACAUUAACGUCAACGUCAAGUAGCCUUGCAAGUACAUUGCCAGACACAGAACGACCGUUAGAAGAACUUCACCUUACGGUCAAUACCGAUAUGCCAACUGUAGUACGAGCCAUGGCUCGGCCUGACUCAGGGUUGGAAAUUCGUGAUCGUAUGUGGCUUAAAAUAACAAUACCAAAUGCAUUCAUUGGGGCAGAUGUGGUGGAUUGGCUUCAUACUCACGUCGAAGGAUUUAUCGAUCGUCGCGACGCAAGGAAAUAUGCCUCUCUCAUGCUAAAAGCUGGCUUCAUUAGGCAUACAGUGAACAAAAUAACAUUUUCUGAACAAUGUUACUACAUAUUUGGUGAUUUAUGUUCAGCCAUGAGUAGCAUGAAACUAGAUUGCGAUACUGUUGGACCAUUACCUCCGCCAAAUGCCUGGGACAUGCCUUAUUCAGGGACAUACGCACCUCAUUCUGCAACUGGUUACAGUCCAAUGCCAUUUAACUUCACCAAUGAACCGACUGUGUAUGGUUAUCACCGCGAAGAAAGUGUUCACAGUGGUUCAGGAGGAAGUAGCGCAGGUAGUGAACACAUUUGCAAAGAACCUAUUCACGAUUUGAAAUCCUGUUCUUCAGCGUCUGAAUCCGAAUUACAUAUUCCAUCAGUGCCAACUAUGCCAAGUAAGAAUUCCGGCAACGGGAAUGGUUCAAACGGAAAGAGGUCGAACGGUAGCCGCAGUCGUUCCAGCGGUUCUGAACAGUCUGUGCAGACAGGAACUGGUUCAGGAAAUCAACAAAAUCAACAAGACUUAUCUGGAUUGUCUACGACAAUGGGGCAGCUAUUUCUUUAAAAAUCGAGAGGAUAUUGUGUCGAAAAUAUUAAAUGAUUCACUAAUUAUUACUUUUUAGAAACGCACUUUCUAAGGGUAAUCUGCUAUAAACGAAAUAAAAAUAUUAUAUAUAUAUAUGUAAAUGUACAAACAAAAUAUACAAUUUUUUAUUGUAUAUUUGGGUAAUUAUUGGUGAAUCAUUUAAACAAUCUGGUCCAUGCGUAAAGGACGAAUUUUUUAUUGUAUUCCUACUAAUUCAAGUUUAUUAUUUGGUAAUGAAAGAGAUUGUUUACAAUUAUGUUAUGUGGUAUUGCAUCACAGGUUCGACAAUAUGUAAAUAGAACGAAUUAUGCUCAUAUUAAAUGUGCCAUCUUAUCAGUGUUAGAAAGUAUUGAAAAAAAAAUAAUAAACUGCGACGUAUAAUUUAUAUAUGUACUAGCUGUCUCAACAUGAUUGACUGCUGCGAAAAUUGCAGGUUCUUCAUAUUAAAACGAAACAAAAGUCCUUUACCAUUUUGUAAUAUACUUAAUACUAAAGUAGUUUUUGAUUUAUUUUAACACGAAAAGUCUGUAGUUUUCGCUGUGUACACUCGGGUGCAACAUGGACUUCCUUUGGAUUAUCACCAAUGUAAUGGGAGGAGUCUCCCAUCACUUUUAGAGAAUUAAACAUGUAAACUUGUAGAUUUUUAAGUUCUAAAAUCCCCAAAUUAGAUCCUAGAGUUCUCAAAUUUUCAAACGCGAAAAUUGGUAAACUUGAACAUUUUUACGACUGAUGGAUCCUCUUGCCUCUACAUCGCCAUGUUCCCUAGGAAAGUUUCCGGUGCUCCAAUCUUUUUGAGACAUCAUGUAUGUAAUACACGUGCUUUCCAGGUGUAUGCAUUUCUUAAUCGUUUAUGUUUCAUUGAUGUCAUCAUUAUUUACAAUACGAAUUAUCUUCUGCAUCUCACAUACACAAGCUUAUUUAAUUUCAACAAACUUUGUAACAUUUCAUUGCGUCUUGCCGUUGCGUUAUUAUCAUGUAAAUUUUUUAUUUAGCGUAUCUCGUAUCGAAACAACGUGCUCUUCUUUUCUCUCUUUGUUUUCUUUCUUAAAUGCCGCUAGAAGAUAUUUACAUUCGAUGCACUGAAGUGCGUUCGCGACGUUAAUAUAAGACUAGAUAUUUCAAAUAUGGUAUAAUGUUUGUUUCGAACGUUUCUCCUUUUUAUAUCGAUUUUACUAUAUUUCUAUAUUUACACGAAUGACCAUUUCCAUUACUUUCUAAAUAUUUAUCGAAUACGUAGAGAAUAUUAUUCGUAACAUGGAACCAUGUUUGAAACUUUCGUGCAAUUUUCCAAAAUGUAUAGUAACCCUUUUAUAUCGUCUUUUUUUUCGUAUAAUCAAACACUGGACAUUUUGCUAGGAGAAUAACAAUGUAUAGUAGAAAGUUUUCGUUGGUAUGAAAUAAAAAAUUUCCUUGGAAAAUUGCACGCUGUAAUCAUUAAUUUCAACGAGUGUAUUUCGUUUCACCACCGAUUAUGUAAUUCGAUAUUUAAGAGGGUAAUUAACACAAAAUUAAGGUACCGACUAUUAUAUAAUUAUUCUGUAAAAUAUAUACAUAUUUUAUGUUGCAGACAGGCUGUACAGUAUGUCUGAGAAACGCAAAAUUGUAAAAACAACGAUGUUUCAUUAAACGAUAACCGAGAAAGGAGGAAGUGAAAUGCAUACAAAUUUUGUGACUCACAGACAUACUAUCAAAUUUGGUUGAUUUUAUUUUCUAUUUAUUGUGCCGCUCUAAAAGGACUUGCUGCUUUCUGUCAUAACAUACAAAACGACUCAAUUCCCUUUGCAACUAACGUUGCGCGUUAAAUGGAUUACAUCAAUGUCAGAGACGUAAUCGGGUCAUUUUUGUGCCUUGUGCUGCGCUGACGGUCGACGCAGAACGGCGUAUGCACGAGGAAACUCGUACUAACGAUUUGGACAACAAUAGCAGAGGCAAUAUCUAUGAAGAGGACAUUUUGGAGUACCAGUUUCUGCACAAGUGAAGAUGCUCGUUAGCGGGAUACGUAUACGUAAUGGUCGUAAUAGAGGAGUUGAGAACAAGAAAUUAAGGUAUAAUUUUCACUCGACCUUAAUUAGUCGGACGGAUAUUAGUACUGGCGAAACAUAUAUAUAAAUAUAUAUAUUUAUAUAUAUAUUUAAUAGGCCAAUUUUGAUAAUGCGUCAUAGAGGAUGAACAAGGAUCCAACCUCUCCGUAUAAUUUGUAACGGUUAUACAUAAAAAUAGAAUUAAGGUCAUCGAAUUUCUACCGUGGUAUUUCAAAUAUCACGCACGAGAAUUAUAUAUGUUUAUAACGCGAUCCGCAACAACAAAGAAAGAAAAAAUGUCUCGAGUAACGAUGGCGGGUUAAGCGUGUUUUCUUUAAAGCAGGGUGCAUGCAAGAUCGAGGACACUCGAUACCGCGAAUUGUUUUAUAAAAUUAUAGCUGCACUUGUUCUUUCCUUUUUCGCCUUCGAACGAGGAUAUCUUUUAUUACUCCUCGUCAUAUAUAUAUUAUAUUUUUCGUAUGUUGUUUCUCCUGAAAAAUGGAAUUAAUCUAGACAACUUUCGUUCGCUUGUAACAUCAAAAUUUUUCGACAAAUGAAAACGCGUUACAUUAUGUACUAUUGGGCAAUGUAGGCUUCCUUUGGAUUAACAUAAACAGGUAUUACUUUCACUUUGUCUGGAGAUCUUUUCCCAAAUUUUCAGAUUCCAAACUUUCCAGGUUUUUAAAUUCUUCUACACUUCUUAACUGAAGAAAACCUACAUUGGACCUUUAGUACUGUACUUUUAAUUAUACGGGUAUAUGAGCAACAUAUAUAUGUAAAGUUGAAACUAACGAUUUUGCGUAUACCGAUUAAAAGAAGGAAACGACAAGGUAAAGAGCGUCAGUAACGCAAGAUAUUCGCAAAAAGAAAAUUCCUGAUUUGUUAGUACAACUUAUAUGACUGCAAAUACGUCUCUUGUAACCAAGCGUUUAAACCCUUGCUACGAAUGAAAAAUUAAUUAGUAUGAAGCAUACAGUCAUCGAAAGUUACGAGACAAAUUUUCGUAACUACCGUCAGGGAAUAUUUUUGACUAAAUUUUGAUUCACGGUUUCAGUCGUGUUAACUCGGAACAAUUAUUAACGCACAGGAUUGUCCGCUUCGUUCGAUUUGCUUUAUACUAACUAAUUGACCGAACUUCGAUGUAUGUACGAUUUUUUAUUUUUCCAUGCUAUUUCAACCAAUUAAUCGAUACAAAAAAAGGCAAUACGUAAAUAAACUGUAAAGAUAGGACUGUAUAAAUUCGUGGAAAACUUUCUGCCCCGAUUCUCUGUGAGCGUGCGAGUUUACACGAGCGUGCGUGACGAUGAAUCGUAUUGUCGUGUGCAAGUAUCUUCCUCGUUGAAGAAUGAAGCAAAAAAAAGAAACCAAUCGAAGCCUCGACGGGUCAAUAAUAAUGAAAGUUUAUUCGUCGAGACGCACUCGAGAGCUGUUUCUUCUGACUGAAGUAUUUUAAUGUCAUUUAGAGGUAUAGUACAACGCGGCAAGAUAGUCAAUCGAUAUUGCAUUUACGAACAGAUAGCUCAUUCCUUAUAAUAUUUUUUACCCCUGCGAGAAACGUUUACAAACUUUUCCUUUUUUUAUUAACGCCACGGAUUUUGUACACUCGGGUACAACAUAGAUUUUUCUUGGUUGGGGGAGGUAGGAAGGGAAUAUCCAACCAUUUGCUUUUUCGAAAGUUCUUCAAUUUUCAAAUUCCUAAAUCCUGAAUUCCUGGAAUCUCACUGCACAACUUCGAUAAAUAGAAUGGACAUUUCGUUCCUUACAUUUUCCCCCUAACUAAAAGAAACCUAAGUCACCCUUGACCAUACGAUUUUCAUACGAAUCGCGACACUCAGCAAUUUUAUUACUCUAUUCAAUUGUAAUGGCGAAACUAAAGAUUUGUAAAACGAGCAGGAAGGAAAACGAGAAAAACUAUGGCACAGUUAUUUACUCAAUAAACGAUUUCUUCGCGCGUAUGAUGUGUGUAGGUGUGCAUGCGUGUACGUAUGUGUCUCGUGGGAACAGCACGAGACAAUGUAUGCAAGACAUUGAACGUUAACGAUCUCUUCCUCCGUUUCUUAUUUCGAACUUUUGCGAAUGUAACGUGAACGUUUAUAUCCAUAGUAUGUGUACGAAUUACACGUGGAUGUAACGAGUGAUCCAAGAGGCUCGGAUAAUUCCGCGAAAUCAGGUAAAGAUAACACGAAGCGUAAACUAAUAGAACGACGAAAGAAUUCAAUACAUGUAGUAGUGUGUGGAUAUACAGGGAAAUAGAUUGUAAAGAUUUU